rnacentral:lncRNA from 1 species
GUUUGUUCACGUCCCCAUCAUCUCUGACCACUAGGAGAGGGGUGAAUGGUGUACACUGGAGGAAAGAAAAGCCCAGUGGAAGGGUUACUGUCCUGGGCAGGAUAUAAUAUCGAAGAAAGUGAAGUCUGAAGACUAUUGCUUUAAAUACUCAAAGUUUGCUUUAAGGAGAGGGAGGAAAGGAGAUGCAGGGGGAAGGAAUGUAUCAGUCGCUGAAGUUCUUAUCUCUACUGAUAUGGCCAGCUUUUCUUAAGUUCAUACCAUAGGUCUAGGGUAGCCCGGGAAUGCUGGGGCUGGAGCCUGCUUGCCUGGGACACUGGAUAGAAUCUGCAGGCCUCUAAGAAAAGCACUGCAUGUGGCCACUUCCAGCCUGGCAAUGGGUCAUGGUGUUCCUGCAGAGGCCAAAGACUGACACAUGGGGAGACGGGUGAUGAGACAUGUGUCUGAUAUCCCUUUCAAGACCUUGUUCUUAUUAUGACCCUGGGAGAAGAAAACUUCACAGUGAUGAAAGCAGUGAAAUGCACUCAGGCACAAGGAAGGGGCUUGAAAUUGGGUGUCCCCAAGCUAUCAUCAGUUCCUAUGUGACAUGGAUGGGACCCAGAAGCUCCCACACGCCCCUUAAAAGGAUAAAUAGAGAUAAUUGGGAGCAUGGUCAAGGAUCUUGCCUGAAGGUCAGUGUAGUGGAGAAAAAAGAGCCAUCUUGGAACUCUCUGGGCCAGGAUCAUGCCCAUAUACUAGGAAGAAUUCAUAGCACCAUCCAGAGCUGAUGUGCUGAUGGGGGCCCAGUCAGCAGGGACAGUAACUGGGCACUGCUGAGCUAUGUACUACCUGAAUGACACAGAUACCAGCAGCUGAUGACAGCAGGAUGAGCAUUGACUCUUGUCCCAGAACUAGUGUGGACUCUGAAUGGUGAUCUGAGACCCUCCUGCCUUCAAAUCAUGAGGACACUUCUGCCCAACACCCUCUAUAUUCAGAUGCUCUCUUGCUGGGGACAGAGAAGGGAGAAAGAGGUAACCCAGGUUGAUGUUCGAAGAGUUCAGAGACCUUUUCAAAUGGUUGGGAUUGAGAAACAAAAGAAGGAAGCUUCUGUUGGUACUGUUGAUGUUUUCCCUGAAGUUGCAGAAUCAGAAGGGG